AGCCAGACUCCUACGGGAGGCAGCAGUGAGGAAUAUUGGUCAAUGGGCGCAAGCCUGAACCAGCCAAGUCGCGUGAGGGAUGACGGUCCUAUGGAUUGUAAACCUCUUUUGUCGGGGAGCAAGGCCCGCCACGUGUGGCGGGAAGGAGAGUACCCGAAGAAAAAGCAUCGGCUAACUCCGUGCCAGCAGCCGCGGUAAUACGGAGGACGCGAGCGUUAUCCGGAUUUAUUGGGUUUAAAGGGUGCAUAGGCGGGCUUUUAAGUCAGCGGUAAAAAUUCGGGGCUCAACCCCGUCCGGCCGUUGAAACUGGCAGUCUCGAGUUGGAGAGAAGUAUGCGGAAUGCGCGGUGUAGCGGUGAAAUGCAUAGAUAUCGCGCAGAACUCCGAUUGCGAAGGCAGCAUGCCGGCUCCACACUGACGCUGAGGCACGAAAGCGUGGGUAUCGAACAGGAUUAGAUACCCGAGUAU
rnacentral:rRNA from 1 species